AUGGCGGGCUGGGGUUCAACCCGGGAGCACGGUGCAUGAGGCGUGUUCCCCAGUCUGCAGCCGAACACCGGCUUCCUUCUCUUCCUUCCCCUGUGCUCCCGCCUGGGUUCUGGGGGCGGGGGUGGAGGGAAGGGCGAAGGAGGAGGCAGUGAAGGCGGGGUGAAGGGCAGAGGGGUCCCUGCACACAGCGAGGCGCGCUGCCUCACUCUCUCUCUCUCUCUCUCUCUCUCUCUCUCCCCCCCCCCCCCCCCGCCGGGUGCCUCGGCCCGGGGCGCGCUGGGCUCUGGCUGCCCGCCCUAUGCAGGCGGACUACUGGCCGCCGCGAUUGCAGGCCGGGUGGUGCUGAGAGCCGGGCGCUGCCCGCAGUGACCCCGAGUCCGGCCCGCUGCCCCCGCCCGGGCCACACUCCCCCUCUCCCGCCUCCACUCGUGGCCCCAACCCCUCCUCCACGCCCUCCUCUUCCUCCUUGGCCUCCUCCUCCGUGCCUCUGUUCCUCCUGUUCUUAUCCUGCUCCUGCUGCUAGAGGACACCAGAGCCCAGCAAGUCUAUCUACUCAUACUAGAUUUGAGGACACAGACAGCUAUCCCAAAACAAUAGGAUAUACUACGGUGAUGGAUGUGGACACACUGUACGAGGCCCUGAAAGUGCAACUCUUGCAUCUAUAAACUACCCGCCGACCUAUCCCAGCAGUACCGUUUGCAAAUGGGAGAUCCAUGUCAAGAUGGGAGAACGAAUUCGGGUCAAAUUGGGUGAUGUUGACAUUGAAGAUUAUGAUUCUUGUCAUUUUAAUUACUUGAGAAUUUAUAAUGGAAUUGGACUUGGCAGAACAGAAAUAGUGCAAGAAUGAAUGCUCAACAAGAAUGUGUGGCUGUCUUUUACAAAGCUGAAGUCUACUCGGAAUUCACUGAUUAUUUUUAUGGGGGGAAAAGUGAUUUUCUAUAAUUUGCAUGAACUAUUCUGCAUGAACUUAAUGCCUUUGAUAUUCCCCAAAGAGGAAUUAAAUCACAAGGAUCAUCUAAUCUAAACAGUACUAUAGCUGUUUCUCCUCCUUCAAAUCCUAAGAGAUAACCAUGCUUAUUUCUGCUCGCUGAGAACACUUUUUCUAGCUCUUGGACUUGAAAAAAGUACAAAAAUAAGGUUGCUUUUGCCACUUUAGGUUUUUAGUGAUUUUAUAUCAAUUUUAAUAUAUUUUUCUAAUUAUGUAAACAAUGCACCUAGUACUUCCAUUAAAUCUGCAGGUUAUUUUGCAUACUCUGGACUUAUUCACAAUUACAAAUCUUCAAACCUGUGAAUAUUAGGAGUACUUUAUUUUUUGCCUUUAACUUCCUUCACUAUUGUUUUAUAAUUUUAGUGAUUCUUUUAUUUUUUUAAUUCAUUCCUAGGCAUUUUAUUCUUUCUGUUGCCAAAUAUAACUAUGAUUUUUUCUCAAUCACUUCUUUUAAACUUUCUGUCAUUCUGAGUAUUGAAACGAGAGCUCUCCACUAAACUCCAUCCCCAGUUCUUUUAAAAUACCUUUUCUUGAGAAGAAAGUUGCUAAACACUAAGUGAGCCUUGUGGGGCUCCAAUUUGCACAUCUCCUGUCCCGUCUCACAGAGUGCUGGGUGUAAGGCUAUGUGGCCGUGCCUGGCCUCUUACCUCUUUUUUUAUUGGUUAAUUACUUGCGUGUAGAACAACUACUGAUUAUUAUUAUUUUUGGUUCUCUGUUUGUUUGGUGAUGCUGGGUAUUGAAUUCACAAUUCUUGGGCAUCGCCAUGCUAGGAACAUAAUACAUAAUCUAGGUACUCUUCAGUCUUUACAAUUAUUUCAUGAUUUUGUAUUCUGAAGUUUUCAGGAAUUUAUCAAAAAUAACUUUUUUUAUUGGGUCUUUGGUGUUCACUAUUUACAUAACCAUUUUAUUUGUAAUAACAAUUUAUC